UAAGGAAUAUUGGUCAAUGGACGCAAGUCUGGACCAGCCAUGCCGCGUGAAGGAUGAAGGUCCUCUGGAUUGUAAACUUCUUUUAUCUGGGACGAAAACGGGAUUUUUAUCUCAAUUGACGGUACCAGAGGAAUAAGCACCGGCUAACUCCGUGCCAGCAGCCGCGGUAAUACGGAGGGUGCGAGCGUUAUCCGGAUUUACUGGGUUUAAAGGGUGCGUAGGUGGGCUUAUAAGUCAGUGGUGAAAUCUCCGAGCUUAACUUGGAAACUGCCGUUGAUACUAUAGGUCUUGAAUUAUCUGGAGGUAAGCGGAAUAUGUCAUGUAGCGGUGAAAUGCUUAGAUAUGACAUAGAACACCAAUUGCGAAGGCAGCUUACUACAUAUAAAUUGACGCUGAGGCACGAAAGCGUGGGGAUCAAACA
rnacentral:rRNA from 1 species